rnacentral:rRNA from 1 species
GACGAACGCUGGCGGCGUGCCUAAUACAUGCAAGUCGAGCGGACCGAACAGGAGCUUGCUCUUGUUCGGUUAGCGGCGGACGGGUGAGUAACACGUGGGUAACCUGCCCGUAAGACCGGGAUAACUCCGGAAAACCGGUGCUAAUACCGGAUAACACCGAAGACCGCAUGGUCUUUGGUUGAAAGGCGGCUUCGGCUGCCACUUACGGAUGGGCCCGCGGCGCAUUAGCUAGUUGGUGAGGUAACGGCUCACCAAGGCGACGAUGCGUAGCCGGCCUGAGAGGGUGACCGGCCACACUGGGACUGAGACACGGCCCAGACUCCUACGGGAGGCAGCAGUAGGGAAUCUUCCGCAAUGGACGAAAGUCUGACGGAGCGACGCCGCGUGAGCGAAGAAGGUCUUCGGAUCGUAAAGCUCUGUUGUUAGGGAAGAAGAAGCGUCGUUCGAACAGGGCGGCGCGGUGACGGUACCUAACGAGAAAGCCCCGGCUAACUACGUG